GAUGAACGCUGGCGGCGUGCCUAAUACAUGCAAGUCGAGCGAACAGACGAGGAGCUUGCUCCUCUGACGUUAGCGGCGGACGGGUGAGUAACACGUGGAUAACCUACCUAUAAGACUGGGAUAACUUCGGGAAACCGGAGCUAAUACCGGAUAAUAUAUUGCUCCGCAUGGUUCAAUAGUGAAAGACGGUUUUGCUGUCUCUUAUAGAUGGUUCCGCGCCGCAUUAGCUAGUUGGUAAGGUAACGGCUUACCAAGGCAACGAUGCGUAGCCGACCUGAGAGGGUGAUCGGCCACACUGGAAGUGAGACGCGGUCCAGACUCCUGAGGGAGGCAGCAGUCGGGAAUCUGCCGCAAUGGGCGAGAGCCUGGCGGAGCGACGCCACGUGAGUGAUGAAGGUCUUCGGAGCGUAAAACUCUGUUAUUAGGGAAGAACAAAUGUGUAAGUAACUAUGCACGUCUUGACGGUACCUAAUCAGAAAGCCACGGCUAACUACGUG
rnacentral:rRNA from 1 species